rnacentral:rRNA from 1 species
GACGAACGCUGGUGGCGUGCUUAACACAUGCAAGUCGAACGGAAAGGCCCUGCUUUUGUGGGGUGCUCGAGUGGCGAACGGGUGAGUAACACGUGAGUAACCUGCCCUUGACUUUGGGAUAACUUCAGGAAACUGGGGCUAAUACCGGAUAGGAGCUCCUGCUGCAUAAUGGGGGUUGGAAAGUUUCGGCGGUUGGGGAUGGACUCGCGGCUUAUCAGCUUGUUGGUGGGGUAGUGGCUUACCAAGGCUUUGACGGGUAGCCGGCCUGAGAGGGUGACCGGCCACAUUGGGACUGAGAUACGGCCCAGACUCCUACGGGAGGCAGCAGUGGGGAAUAUUGCACAAUGGGCGGAAGCCUGAUGCAGCAACGCCGCGUGCGGGAUGACGGCCUUCGGGUUGUAAACCGCUUUCGCCUGUGACGAAGCGUGAGUGACGGUAAUGGGUAAAGAAGCACCGGCUAACUACGUGCCAGCAGCCGCGGUGAUACGUAGGGUGCGAGCGUUGUCCGGAUUUAUUGGGCGUAAAGGGCUCGUAGGUGGUUGAUCGCGUCGGAAGUGUAAUCUUGGGGCUUAACCCUGAGCGUGCUUUCGAUACGGGUUGACUUGAGGAAGGUAGGGGAGAAUGGAAUUCCUGGUGGAGCGGUGGAAUGCGCAGAUAUCAGGAGGAACACCAGUGGCGAAGGCGGUUCUCUGGGCCUUUCCUGACGCUGAGGAGCGAAAGCGUGGGGAGCGAACAGGCUUAGAUACCCUGGUAGUCCACGCUGUAAACGGUGGGUACUAGGUGUGGGGUCCAUUCCACGGGUUCCGUGCCGUAGCUAACGCUUUAAGUACCCCGCCUGGGGAGUACGGCCGCAAGGCUAAAACUCAAAGGAAUUGACGGGGCCCCGCACAAGCGGCGGAGCAUGCGGAUUAAUUCGAUGCAACGCGUAGAACCUUACCUGGGUUUGACAUGGAUCGGGAGUGCUCAGAGAUGGGUGUGCCUCUUUUGGGGUCGGUUCACAGGUGGUGCAUGCCUGUCGUCAGCUCGUGUCGUGAGAUGUUGGGUUAAGUCCCGCAACGAGCGCAACCCUUGUUCACUGUUGCCAGCACGUUAUGGUGGGGACUCAGUGGAGACCGCCGGGGUCAACUCGGAGGAAGGUGGGGAUGACGUCAAGUCAUCAUGCCCCUUAUGUCCAGGGCUUCACGCAUGCUACAAUGGCUGGUACAGAGAGUGGCGAGCCUGUGAGGGUGAGCGAAUCUCGGAAAGCCGGUCUCAGUUCGGAUUGGGGUCUGCAACUCGACCUCAUGAAGUCGGAGUCGCUAGUAAUCGCAGAUCAGCAACGCUGCGGUGAAUACGUUCCCGGG